GCUUUUAGCCAAGGUUGGGGGCCACGUCACCUGCAGCGCUGCACAUAGCUGCAUGAAAUUGUGUAUGGCUGAUCGGUAAGGAUAAAUCACGAGUGGACAUGGUGCCACACGAGCAUGGUAUCCACCACUCAUUUCUUCGUGAUUCGUGUUGUAUUUACAUUGCCAAAAUGUAUAUGGGUCGUAUUCUAUGUAUAAUAGAUGAGUAUGGCCCACAAAUCUGCACAAGUGCAGUUAAAGCUCAUUGAUGACCACACCGAUCCCACACUACUGAUUAGAGGAGCUAUUCUCUUAGGCUGGUCACAAUGGAGAGUAACAUAAGGUAGGAACCUACACGCUUUCCUAGACUAUGUUCCUACCUCCACAAUGGGGAGUAACAUGUAUGUAGUGUCAUGCAACAAUGCAUUUAUUAGGCUAUAGACUCAUUGUUUCUUGGAGUGUGUGAUGUUCCGGUAACUUAGCUAGUUACCACAAGCACCUCUCUCUUCACUAAAUACGUGCCACAUAGCAAAGUUGUAUUGAAGUGUGUGAUGUUACUGCUAAGUUCCUCCCCAUUGUGACCAGCCUUAGUUAUUUGCAGCGUACAUCAACGCCAACCCGCACCAUUGCAUGCAUUUUCUCCCCAUUCAUUGUUUAUUCUGGAGCUCCUCUCGCACUCAUCUUGCUUCUCUAGUUCUCCCUCUUCGUUCAUGGCAUUGCUAGCUAGGAUUCAUACAUGGAGAUCUAGAGUUUCUUUUCAGAAAUAAUGAAGACGUGGAGUUGUAGCCGCAGCAGUCUCCCCCUAUCUCUCUCUCCCUUCCUCUCUUUCUCAGCUUUGAUGAUCAUGUGUCACUCAAUGACUGUCUAAGUGCAGUUCAUAUUCCUCACCCUCUCUUUCUCUCAAUCCUCUCGGUCGUGCCAAUAAUACUUCAUGUCCAUCUACUGGAACAACACCAACAUUUGUGUUCAUGUCCUAGUGUCCAGUUCAUCAAUGUCCUACAUCGAUUCUCCAGCUCCACCCAUGGGAUUUUUUACGACGUGGCCCAAGCAUGGCUCACAUUUCAAGUAAUCCUGUAUAAAUAAAUUUUCCUCUACCCAGCCAAUCUGAUGAUAAGAUUCAACAGUGUUCUUCAUACACCCACCUCCACCUACAUGAAGCAUAUCUAAACUACAUGUCCCGCAGAAGCCCACUCCCUCCCCCACCCACACCCAUUAUCUAGUACUGGCUGGUGGCUGCAUAUAGACUCUUCUAAAUGACAUGCAGACCAUCAAGUACCCAACAGAGAUUUAAAUCCAACACAUCUCACAGAGUGCUAAAACUCAACUAGUACCAGACAAAGUGCAUACAAAUUUAGAGUGUCAUGACCCACUCACUGCUGAGUAUUUCAUGUAUUAUUGAGUACCUGCCAUCGUAUUAGAAAAUGGCCUAUAUUAAUUAGUAAUCACAAAACACAAGCGGGUAGCCGAGAUUUCGGCAUCGCGUGGCACCAUGUCUCAAAAAUCCACGUCCUGCUCGGUAAGCACUAAUUAGUCCGGUGACAAGUUUUGUCAGCAGUUCAUUCUCUGUUUUCUCUUUGAUGGAUUAUUCUUAUUUUACGAACGAUGGUCUGGUUUGCAAUAAUUGACCCAAUGUGCAAGGUAAAGCUAGAGUCGAGAAUACUACCCCCUCUGUAUCACAAUACUUGUAGUUGGGG
rnacentral:lncRNA from 1 species